GACGAACGCUGGCGGCGUGCUUAACACAUGCAAGUCGAACGGAAAGGCCCUGCUUUUGUGGGGUGCUCGAGUGGCGAACGGGUGAGUAACACGUGAGUAACCUGCCCUUGACUUUGGGAUAACUUCAGGAAACUGGGGCUAAUACCGGAUAGGAGCUCCUGCUGCAUGGUGGGGGUUGGAAAGUUUCGGCGGUUGGGGAUGGACUCGCGGCUUAUCAGCUUGUUGGUGGGGUAGUGGCUUACCAAGGCUUUGACGGGUAGCCGGCCUGAGAGGGUGACCCGCCACAUUGGGACUGAGAUACGGCCCAGACUCCUACGGGAGGCAGCAGUGGGGAAUAUUGCACAAUGGGCGGAAGCCUGAUGCAGCAACGCCGCGUGCGGGAUGACGGCCUUCGGGUUGUAAACCGCUUUCGCCUGUGACGAAGCGUGAGUGACGGUAAUGGGUAAAGAAACACCGGCUAACUACGU
rnacentral:rRNA from 1 species